AUGUGCUUUCCGCCAAGCCAAAGCUUGGAACCUACAACUGCAAAAAAGAGAAAACAUGAUAACUCAAUUACUAGAGCAUCAAAAAGCCAAAUGUUGGAGAAAACAACUAAGAAAAAAGGGAAAGGGAGUAAAUCUGGAUCCAGAGUAGCAAAAAGAUCAAGAACUCAGCCCAUUUGUGUGGCCAACAAGAAAACAUCUGUUGUGAAGGUACAUGCCAAAAGAAAAAGCAAAGAGGUUGCUGAUAAGUUGCCACACCUUCCUAUGGUGCCACAUGACAGCAGCACACGAAGCAAAAGGAGACUUAGCUUAUACAUCCAUUUCUAA
rnacentral:rRNA from 1 species